UACGGAGGGAGCUAGCGUUGUUCGGAAUUACUGGGCGUAAAGCGCACGUAGGCGGCUUUGUAAGUUAGAGGUGAAAGCCCGGGGCUCAACCCCGGAAUUGCCUUUAAGACUGCAUCGCUUGAAUCCGGGAGAGGUGAGUGGAAUUCCGAGUGUAGAGGUGAAAUUCGUAGAUAUUCGGAAGAACACCAGUGGCGAAGGCGGCUCACUGGACUGGUAUUGACGCUGAGGUGCGAAAGCGUGGGGAGCGAACAGG
rnacentral:rRNA from 1 species